UGUGGGAAGGAGGAAGUGUGGAGAGGAAGGCCUGGGUACCCAUAGACACUGUUGCAGAAAAAUCUCAUGUACAUCACAGUACAGGUAAGAACUCCUCUACCUGAUCCAGAUUCUUUGGCCUGUGUCUCGGCUCAGCUCGGUUGAGAGCAUGUAUCCUUAAUCAAAUGAUUGCAAUCACCGAGACUCCCCACCAGCAGGUAAUCAAGAGGCCAGAGCCCCUGUCCAGUGUGCCAGGUGUGAUCUCCAAGGGAGCUGCCUCUGCCACGCUUGCCUGGUAGCAGUGCCUUGUGGGAGGACAUGGGCCUUGGGAGGGGGGGUGUGGUAGGAAAUGAAGGGUUGAAGUCUGGGCCAUGACCAAGGUUCCUACAGAUUUCUCCAGUUUUGACACCUUCUGAAAUACACAUCCAGUCAUUGAGAGAAAUGACUCCAAGACUGUCCCCUGCCCCGAAUUGCCUCCUGGAUAUCCCAUAGCUGCCUUAGCCAUCUUCCUGUACCAGGCUGUACUUCCCACGGGAGCAGGAGCCCUGUGGGUUUGACAUUGAGUAUUUCUCAAUCUGGGUGAAGAAACAGAGUUCAAAACACAACAUUUCCACUUGCAAGCGUUUCCAUCUCUGGACACCACAUCCCACGGCCUCCACCCCGCUGGGUGCCUCAAAUCCACUCCUCCUCUUCACCACUACAGACCCCCCCAGUUUAUGCCACUUUCCUCUCCUGGUGCCACCCCACUAUUUCCUGUCUAAGACUCCCUACUGCCUUUGGUGUCAAAUGCAGACUCCUCAGUUUGGCCUUCUUGAACUUCAGAACUGGCUUCCCCUGCCCUUCUGUCUGAUCUUCUGUAUCCUGAUUCUCCUCUUCUCCUGUUCCUGCCAAGCUGGUCUCCUUCUUAUUUCUCAAACCCAUGCCUGGUUACCUGUCCUCACAUCUGGGAUAGCUCCCUGUCUGUAAUCUCCAGUCUUCUUGGCCAAUCUUGUGUUUGAUCAUAUCUCUUUCCACUGCACUGAGAAUUAGAGCAAAGCUACUCCCAAGACCCACUGUGUUGGUUGCUGAGAUGAAACUCUGGCUUUGGUACAUUCAGUGAUGGUCAAGGUCAUGCACUUGGCAUAAAUAACAGGACCACUCCUUGGGUGUCCUCCAUGUUCCAGGCCCUCUACUAUGUACGCAUCUUACAUGUUCCUUUUCCAAUCCUCCUAAUCAACAUGUGAGGUAUCAUUCUGACGAGGGCAGAUGCAGUGUUGCUUUAAGUCAAAAGUCUGGCCAACUUCAAAAUUCUGAGGGCUUCAGGAUUUAGGGUGAUUCCUGGCCAGGAUCCAGGAUGAGUCUACACUUGCGGGGUUCGGCCAGUCUCUCAUUAGAGAAUUUUGAAGUUGACCAGAGUUUUAACUUAGAUCAACACUGAAUCUGCUUAACCUACAGCCAUGAGCCAUAUUAAAAGACAACAGAAGAGUGAAGGAGACAGGAGAUACUUCCUUCAGGGUAAAGGGGAGACAUGAGGCAGAUGGGGGAAGGAUUUGGAGCCCUCAGAUUUGGCUAGUUCUCAACUUACCUUGUGGGAAGUCUUUAGACAGGAGAGUCAUCUCUUUUUUUAUGUAGAGAUAAUUUCUCCUUCUCACCACCCGCUUCACUAUUUCAGAUAUAUUCCUAAUAAAGAGCUGGAUGGCCAGAGCCACC
rnacentral:lncRNA from 1 species